rfam:Picea glauca, whole genome shotgun sequence.
UUAAAGGUGUUUCUAAACACCACCAUUUCACUCAGUUAUCAUCAU